CCAACAGUCCUUUUCAGGACUACAAAAAAAAAAGUCUAGAAGGAUU
rfam:Strongylocentrotus purpuratus Contig121077_fixed, whole genome shotgun sequence.